rnacentral:rRNA from 1 species
GACGAACGCUGGCGGCGUGCCUAAUACAUGCCAGUCGAGCGAAGUUUUUCUGGUGCUUGCACCGGAAAAACUUAGCGGCGAACGGGUGAGUAACACGUAAAGAACCUGCCUUAUAGACUGGGACAACUAUUGGAAACGAUAGCUAAUACCGGAUAACAGCAUUAACUGCAUGGUUGAUGUUUGAAAGUUGGUUUUGCUAACACUAUGAGAUGGCUUUGCGGUGCAUUAGCUAGUUGGUGGGGUAAAGGCCUACCAAGGCGACGAUGCAUAGCCGACCUGAGAGGGUGAUCGGCCACACUGGGACUGAGACACGGCCCAGACUCCUACGGGAGGCAGCAGUAGGGAAUCUUCCGCAAUGGGCGAAAGCCUGACGGAGCAACGCCGCGUGAGUGAAGAAGGAUUUCGGUUCGUAAAGCUCUGUUGUUAGGGAAGAAUGAUUGUGUAGUAACUAUACACAGUAGAGACGGUACCUAACCAGAAAGCCACGGCUAACUACGUG